UACGUAGGGUGCGAGCGUUGUCCGGAAUUAUUGGGCGUAAAGAGCUUGUAGGCGGUCUGUCGCGUCUGCUGUGAAAAUCCGGGGCUCAACCCCGGACUUGCAGUGGGUACGGGCAGACUAGAGUGUGGUAGGGGAGACUGGAAUUCCUGGUGAUAGCGGUGAAAUGCGUAGAGAUCGGGAGGAAUACCUAUGGGCGAAAGCAGGCUUCUGGGCCGUCACUGAACG
rnacentral:rRNA from 1 species